GACCUACCCGCUGGAACU
rnacentral:rRNA from 1 species